rnacentral:rRNA from 1 species
UACGUAGGGUGCAAGCGUUAAUCGGAAUUACUGGGCGUAAAGCGUGCGCAGGCGGUUCUAUAAGACAGAUGUGAAAUCCCCGGGCUCAACCUGGGAACCUGCAUUUGUGACUGUAGAGCUGGAGUACGGUAGAGGGGAUGGAAUUCCGCGUGUAGCAGUGAAAUGCGUAGAUAUGCGGAGGAACACCGAUGGCGAAGGCAAUCCCCUGGACCUGUACUGACGCUCAUGCACGAAAGCGUGGGGAGCAAACAGG